AUCUCACAUGGGCCAGUGGACCACCUGUCACUUGUUGCAGCAGUGAUGAAUGUGAACCACUUUUGGGAUGAGUUUUGGUCCUGCAGCAAAGAGCAGGACACAGCCAGGGACAAGGACUGCAUUGCCCUGCAGUCAUGAGAUAAUCCUGAAUUUUUCAGGAUACUGCAGGCAGCAAUGCUUGAGACUUGAACACAGACUUCAAGGAGAAUAAUGCUUCCCCAGACAGUCCCUUUCCUAGCAGUGAGCCUGAUGUAAACCCCAAGGAAGAAACUCCCUUUGCAAAACUAAGUGGACAGCUGACUUCAGAGAGGU